rnacentral:lncRNA from 1 species
UGAUUAUGGAGGAUUAGGUGGGAAAACUAUAUACCAAAGACUCACUUAGUAGUUUGCCACUUUAUUCUGAGCAUAAUAAUGCAGCAGAUUGAAUUCAAGUCACAUAAUAAUGAAAUCCAAAAUUCAAAACAAAUCAUCUCAUUUGAUUGAAAUCUGGCAUCUUAUACUGUUAUUGAUUGGUGAUCGAUCUUGUGUGUUUACUAUAGAUAGUCUACUUAUUUCCUUUCAACUUGAUCAUUCUGAAAGAAAAUAAUUCUAAAACAACAUCACAACAUUUAUUUUAUACUUCAUAUUGUGUUAUUCUAUUAUUCUUCUUUUCAGAAUUUUAGUGGUGGUAAUAAUUUUUGGAAUAAAUAAUUAUAUUUACCUGUCAAAUGCCAGGUACCAACUGUAAUCGAUUUUCCAAUGCAUAACAAUUCUUGGGAAGUCUUUAGAUCUUCACCUAGGUUGUUGAGGGCAGACCGCAGACAGACACAGACACACAGUCACACACGCACUGACGCACACCAAUUUGAUCCCGCCUGAAGAUGGUAGUUAAUUGUUUGGGGGUAUGUUAUUGAUCUUGGACUCCUUGUGUACUAGAAAAAACUUAUAUAGAAAGCAACGGAGGGAAAAUCGUGAGGUGGAUGGGUCAUGCGAGUUGGGAGGAGGAGAGAUUGGGGAAGAAAUUGAAGGAGGAGGAGGAGAAAUCGAUAGUUUUGGGGAAG